AUUCCAGAUGCAGCCUUGCUAGGGACAGAGAGCCUGGAAGAAUUGCUGACCCAUUCUUAUACAAGACGUACACCAGAGACUUCUAAGCUAGCGGUCUGUAACAUCUCUGCUAAAAGCCUGCAUCAAGAACUUGGCGAUUGAUUAGAUGAAUUUUUAGAAGUUCAGGUUAAAGAAGACACAUCAGCUUCAUCUCUCAGAACCCACUAUCUUAGAAGAGUUAGAUGCUUGUAAAUUUAACACCAAACAGAUGGCUGUUUGUGCAUUUGAUGGAGCUGCAAACUUCUCUGGAAGACACAGAGAAUUGUUUAAUAUUUGAAGGAAACAGAGGGAAAACAUCGAGAGGCAAGUCAAAGAUACCGGGGCGGACUAAAGGAACUGGCGGGAAUCGGACUGCGUGAGACAUCAAAAGGGUGUGAAUGGUGCGAGGCGCGUGCUGUGCAUGUACAGUCUGGCAAAUCACUGCUCAAGAAAACUCCGAUCUGCAGCACUAGGAUGACCCAACAUCUACAGUGGAGCACCCACGGGACACACAUCUCGAAGAACCGUCAUUACUGCACCAAGAUGAGUAACUUCCUCUUCUUGUUUUGAUCAAGAUGUGAUAUAAUAUCUUAACAAAAACUAACAUGGGUAAAAAUUUGCUGCAUCUGGAUCAUUAUAUUGAAACAGUUUUUAAUUGAGUUGGUGUAUUUUGAAAUGAUUUUAAUUUUUUAAUUUAGUUGGUGUCUUUUCUCAGAAUUAGGGUCUUCUGGACUCAGUACAUGUAAGGAAGCUCCUGCUUUAUAGGCUGAAACAUUAGAGAUAUUCACACAGUUUAAAAAGAAAUCAUUGCAAAGGAGGAAAGUAAUGCCAGGCAAAUUUGCAAAGGGCAGAAGGUCAUUAGAUCCCAAAAAGGUUUUGAAUGUGACUUUUCCAACCCCAUCUUAGAUGUAAUAUUAACACAAUUGUAUGAUAGGUGAAUAAGCAUUAUGGAGUUGGCAUAAGAUUUGCUUUUUUUUGUUGGAUGAGGAACUGAAAAGUCUCUGCCUCAAGAGGCACACUCAAAACUUAGUAAGAAGUUACCCUGAGGAUUUAAACCUGUGUUUCUCAACCUGUGACCCAUCAGCACACAGCUGUGGCCCUUGUGACAUCCUCAUAGCUAUAGAGGUAGUAUUGAAUUCAGACCACAUAACACAAAUGUGGCCCACUAUGGUAUAUUGAUUAAGAACUUCUGAAAAACCAAGAGUUUGAGAAUGGCAUUGUGUUCUUUGAUGUGUGUGUGUGUGUGUGUAUGUGUGUGUGUACAAAAUCUUUAAGGGUGACUCGGAAAUGAAAUUGUCAUUGAUCUCCUUAGCUACAUUCACAAAGGGGCUAAAAUUCACAAAAGAGCUAAAAUUAAUCAAGGCCUAGCUAAGAAUAUCCAUGAGGCAGAACAGCAAUCUGGCUGUUAUUUCUAUAGAGAACUCAGAAACAUGACAGACAGAUUGGGCUGUGUUAAUUAAUGAGAUUCCUAGCCUUCUCUGAAACUUGAUCCUUUUGUAAAAUUACUUUCUGGUGACUGCAGGGUUUGUUGGGGGUGAUGGCAGAAGUAAAGUGGUGGGGGGUCCUAAUUUGAGUGUUUAAACCAGACCCAGAAUAUGCAUGGUAUAGCAUUGAUAUACAUGUUGCAAAAGUGUGCAUGCCACUUAAUAGGCAAAAUAAAAUUUAAGAAGACAAAGUCCCAAUUUAGAGGAACUUAGAGUGAAACCAGGGGCCCAACAAAUAUAAUAAAUCACAGUGAGAAAAAAAUAGGCAAAUGGAUUGUAGGGGAAAGUCAUAAGAGGAGAGUGCAACUCAAUGAAAGUAGCUCACCCACAGAAAUCAACCUUUGUGCAUAGAAUUCUUGUUGAUUUUCAUCGCUUUAAAAAAAAUAACUGUAUAGGGAGAGAUUUUGAAAAACAAAGAUAGGAUUUAUGAGGACAAGUGCCAUUGCUAAUACAAUAAAUGGGAUUUCUGCUCCUAAACCCUAAAGGUGUUUUUACAAAUUCCACUCCAUCAUUUAAAUGUCUAUCUUUGGCAGAUCAUCAGUGCAAAACAUCAGGGAAAAAUUGCCUUUGGUAGCCAUUUGAAUAUUGUCAAUUAACAGACAUGUAGAAAACUGAUCAUAAAAUGAAGAUCAGAUGAAGAUCAGCAUAAGAGAAGGAAGGCAAAAUUCCGGUUUCCACAGAACAGGUACCAUGCAUGCAGGAACAAUGGCAGCUUCUCCUCAUUCUCCUGGCAACAUGAUUAGGAGGUAACACCUUUACAAAUGGGAGGUUCUCCGGUCUUCAUAUCCAUUCAGUUUGUGACCUUUCAACUGAAACUGACGACAAAUGUAUAAACAGCGCCAAACGUGGGUUUUUUUUUUUGCUGUGUAGACACAUGGCCUCAGGAACUGGACCAAGUCCAUCACACUUAUUGGGCAUUGAAUAGUCAGCAGAUAGUAAUUUCCUGGUGCCUAUGUCCCUUCCUUGAGCUGAUGAAGUUAAUUUACAACCCCACAAGGUGUGUGAAUUGUUGAAACUUGAAUCUUUAAAAUACAUUAUAUUGCAAAUUUGGUGUAAAUAAAUACAAAGUAAUGCAUAUUGAAGGGAGAAAAUAAACUAUUCAUAGACCUUACGGGGUUCUGAAUGAACUGCAUCAGCUCAAGAAAAGGUAUAAUUGUAGAAUGCUCUAUGAAGACUUUUGCUCAAGGUGCACUCUAAAAAAAAACAAAAAUUGACCUUUGCAUAAGGAAUGGAAUGGUGAAUAAUACAGAGAAUAUUAUAAUAUCUUUACAUAAAGCAAUAGUGUGGCCUCAUCCCAGAAUACUAUGUGCACUACUGGUCACUUCAUCUCAAAAAGAGAUUUGCAGAAUUGGAGUUGAUACAGGGAAAGGUGAUGAUGAUAAUGAACAAGAACACUGAAAAAUUCUCAUGUGAAAAGAAACUGAAGUAACUGGGAUCAUUUACCUUAGAAAGAAGAUGAAUGAGAAGAGACCUGAAAAUGUAUAUAAGAAAAGGCACAUCAGAAACUUCAGUUCUCCCCGUCUCAUAACAGCAGCCAAACAUGGAGACAUUCCAUUAAAGGGUGGGAAAUUCAACAGCAAUAAAAGAAAACACUUUUAACCAUAAGAUGUGUUAAGCGGUGGAACAAAUUGCUACAGGAAGUUGCAGAGGUCAAGAAUUUAAUCAGAUUCAGAAACAGAUUGGACAUUUAUAUUGAAAAGGACAUCCCAGAAUUAUAAUUAAACAUAAUUUUUGUGGAAGAAAUAUUGCAUUGAAGUAUACACACCACACCAGUGCUGAGAGGAUUAAGGUGGGCCAAAAGGGCCUAAUUAAUCUUAUGCUGCACCUGGAGGGAAACCAGGGAUAGAUUAUUCCUAAUGGUUGAUGAAGUCCAGCUUGGAGUGGUGCUGGGAUAGGAUUAAAAGAUGGGAAAUGAGGGCAGGAAGGAGGGUGGCCACCACACCCAAGAAGGAAAGGGAGUUUGCCAGGUACAAGGAAGAGAUUCAGGGGGAGAGUAAACAUUGGGGUCUUGCCCUGGUUUGGGGAGUCCAGCAAGAGGCCUAGAAGGGUGAAGUAGCUAUGAGGCGCAGAGUAAUCUCUGGUGGUAAAUCAGAGAUAAAGAACAAUAUACAG